rnacentral:rRNA from 1 species
UGGGGAAUAUUGGACAAUGGGGGCAACCCUGAUCCAGCAAUGCCGCGUGUGUGAAGAAGGUCUUCGGAUUGUAAAGCACUUUCGACGGGGACGAUGAUGACGGUACCCGUAGAAGAAGCCCCGGCUAACUUCGUGCCAGCAGCCGCGGUAAUACGAAGGGGGCUAGCGUUGCUCGGAAUGACUGGGCGUAAAGGGCGUGUAGGCGGUUUACACAGUCAGAUGUGAAAUCCCCGGGCUUAACCUGGGAGCUGCAUUUGAUACGUGUAGACUAGAGUGUGAGAGAGGGUUGUGGAAUUCCCAGUGUAGAGGUGAAAUUCGUAGAUAUUGGGAAGAACACCGGUGGCGAAGGCGGCAACCUGGCUCAUGACUGACGCUGAGGCGCGAAAGCGUGGGGAGCAAACAGGAUUAGAUACCCUGGUAGUCCACGCUGUAAACGAUGUGUGCUAGAUGUUGGGUAACUUUGUUAUUCAGUGUCGCAGUUAACGCGUUAAGCACACCGCCUGGGGGAGUACGGCCGCAA